GGCUGCGAGGGACGAACUGGAGGCUGCUGCACAAGUUAGUGGUGUUUAGGCCAACGCCCCCGGGAGGGAAAGGUGGAAAUGAUGGCCUGACCCUUCGCGGCUCAUUGAUUUGCAGCCAACGCAACAAGCAGCCGUGGCCUCUGGGAGCAGAUCUCGGCCUGAGAGCUGGGUCAGCAGCGCUACGAGACACACGCGGCAAGGGACUUCACCUUGAACCAGGCCGAGUUUGCUCAGUUUCAGAAGCGGUUUAUCUUUGUUUUUCUUGUGACUAUUUCUGACCUGCACUCACUUCAAGUCUCUCUCUGUGACGUACCGCUCAUUGGGCUUUAUGGAAAUGAGCGUCCCGUCCUUAGCCACGUACUCAAACUCGUACUCCACUAGGACGCAC